rnacentral:lncRNA from 1 species
GUCACGGGUAAGUUUCAAUCUGGAUUCUUGCUUUUGGGAACUGCUUUGGCUUUAGGUUGGUCAGUCGUAUUGGCUUUUGGAUUCUAUCCGUUCAUAUGUAGGAUUUUCUGAAAAAUUCUAUAACGAUUUCUGAAAAAACUUUAAUUCUAUAAAAAUUUAUUUUAAUAGAAUUCAAAUCAAUCGUUAAUAUUAAUUUAUAUCAAGAUAAAUAAGUUCAAAAUAGAACCCUAAAUGUUUGAACUGAACUUAUCUACAAUAUGAACGGUUUGUGUCAUUAAAAUGAACUCAAAAUAAAACUCAAAAUUUUUGAGUUGCACCCAUACAACUUCAGAGAAGCCAGAUCCAUAUUAUAUAUAUGAACAUAAGAAUCUUGAUAUAUUAUCUUUUGGAAAGAGUUUUACUAGAGACAAUGAACAGUGGAUGGAUAAUGCAAAUUCACAUGUGGUGGUACCCACGUAUUUAUUAGCUCAUUGCAACAAAAUAUAUAUUUUUUAUUUUUUUAUUUUGAAAAUCAUGUCCAAUGUUCUCUUCUACUUUUUAUAUUUCGUGUUUGAUUGGCAACUAGAAAUGGUUAUAAGUUUAUAACACACACAACACUGUUCAUGCUUGGUAAUGUUAGAUUUUGUUAAAGUGUUUUUUGGAAAAGCAACCCUUGAAGUAUUUCUGAAAAUAUGCUUAAAUCGACCCUUCAAAAGAAAAAACAAAAGCAUUAAGUAAUUUUUUAAAGGUUUUCCAAAUAUUCACGUACAACGUUUUUCUAGAUAAAAAUUGACAAAAAGCUUCUAGAAAUUUUUCAAAACAUGCUCACUAUAUUCCAUAAGUGUGAAAUAUAAUAUAUCACACGAUUACACUCCCAUGGUAUAUUAUAUCCCCACCAGCAAACAUGGCCCCCUCUCAAUAUUCAUUCAAUGGCUAUGACCAAUCCUUUUUUUCUUAUCCCAAGCCAUAUCCUGAUAUCCUAACCCAAACAAACAUAGUAUAUGUAUUAUUACUUUUUUUAUAUAUCGUGUAUCUUAUUGUAUUACGUAUCUCUUUAUCUUUUUGUAUCCUUUCAUUUCAUAUUCGGACAAUCAAACAAACCCUUAUCAUAUUUGUGUUGUUAAAACAGGCAAAAUCGAUCGGCAGCUCAGCGCAAAUGAUUACCCCCGGGGUUACAGUUAUUCGUACCCCACUUAUUAUUCUCCCAACCGCCCAUGAUGUUUGUUGAUCAAAAUUUAGAACUUAUGUAUAAGACCGAUUAAAAAGGUGGUUGAUAUGAGCAUGAGAGGCUAUUUGCUUAGCAACCUAUUUUGUUGUCACUACUACUUUGCCUCUUUGAUAAAAAGAUGGCAUCUUGUAAAAUCUAUGAUAGCUUAUGAAUAAAAUUCAGUGACUAAAGCUGUCCAUGACAUUUACUAUUAUCAUUUCUUUAUGCGUGUGAAAUUAUAUUUUAUUUUAAUAGCUCGGUAUCUAGUGCUUCACGUACCAACUAAUUUAGGGAUCAAUUCUAUCGUCCGUUAGUGGAGGGUCUGAUUAAAUUAGAUCGGUGCAAAUUCCCGUGUGGAUUGGUUAACUCAUUAAUUGAUAACUCUUGGGAAGUUUCGAACUAGAGAUCUUGAAAGAAAUCGAACAAACUUCAAGGUGAUCUCAUACAUAGAUCACCAAGCUAAUCAAUCCAUUGGAAUUAUAUGUGUGGAAAUUAAAGGGAGGAAAUGUGUAUAUAUGAUGGGCACAUAUUGGAGAAGUUUACAAGUUUAGGUGUGACUUUCUCUUCUCUUUUCUGUUCAGUACUCUCAAUAAUAUAGAAACCUAAAAUAUAUAUUUGUCUUCUCUCUCUAACUACUCUUCUCACUACUCUCUAAAUAAUAAUUUUUCUCACAUUUCUCUCUCCAAAUUCCUCCAGCGUCCUUUUACUUUUUUUCUCUAGUGUUCUCUAAGAUUUUUUAAUGUGUAUUACGGAGAAGAGAAUGGCGAUUUAUGGGUAAGCCUAGGUUUUCAAAUUUGGUAUCUUAUGGACUUAGAAACUUUUGGGGUGGCUUCACUGUCUGAAAUGCAAACUAAAAAUUUUGAUUUUUGGAAAGGAAAAAAUAAUAAAAAAUAAAAUAAAAAGUUUUUUGUAUAUAAAAUUAGACUUUCAAAAAAUAAUCGGGUUAAAAUUAAGUAAAUAGAUUUUUGGCUAAAAACUAUUUGAACUUUAAAAUAAAAUAUUUGACCUUAAAAGAAAAUAAAUUGGACUGAACCAAAACAAGUGUAUUUACAAUAGCCUUGGACUUCUAAAAAAGGAAAACUACUUGAGCGAAACAGACUUGGACUUUAAAAAUAACAAUUGGGUUAAAAAAAUUUUAAAAGAGAUUUUUUCAUGGCCCACUACUAUUCUGAGGUUAUAUUUACCAUUUAAUUUUUAGAGAAAAAAAUAUUGAUGAUUGGAUAUUGUGGCUUCAGCUUGGAUGAGGGAUUGUCAAGUAACCAAUAUUUGGUCCCGAUGUCCCAAGUUUUUAGAAACUUCCCACGCUGAGUGGGC